ACGUAGGUGGCAAGCGUUGUCCGGAUUUAUUGGGCGUAAAGAGCGCGCAGGCGGUUUGUUAAGUCCGAGGUGAAAUCUCCCGGCUCAACUGGGAGGGGUCUUCGGAUACUGGCCGACUUGAGGAGAGCAGAGGUGAGUGGAAUUCUCGGUGUAGUGGUGAAAUGCGUAGAUAUCGAGAGGAACACCAGCGGCGAAGGCGGCUCACUGGGCUCCACCUGACGCUGAGGCGCGAAAGCGUGGGGAGCGAACCGGAUUAGAUACCCGGGUAGUCCACGCUGUAAACGAUGGGCACUAGGUGUGAGGGGUAUUGACCCCCUUCGUGCCGAAGCUAACGCAAUAAGUGCCCCGCCUGGGGAGUACGGCCGCAAGGCUA
rnacentral:rRNA from 1 species